rnacentral:rRNA from 1 species
GAUGAACGCUGGCGGCGUGCCUAAUACAUGCAAGUCGAGCGAACAGACGAGGAGCUUGCUCCUCUGACGUUAGCGGCGGACGGGUGAGUAACACGUGGAUAACCUACCUAUAAGACUGGGAUAACUUCGGGAAACCGGAGCUAAUACCGGAUAAUAUAUUGAACCGCAUGGUUCAAUAGUGAAAUACGGUUUUGCUGUCACUUAUAGAUGGUUCCGCGCCGCAUUAGCUAGUUGGUAAGGUAACGGCUUACCAAGGCAACGAUGCGUAGCCGACCUGAGAGAGUGAUCGGCCACACUGGAGCUGAGACACGGUCCAGACUCCUACGGGAGGCAGCAGUAGGGAAUCUUCCGCAAUGGGCGAAAGCCUGACGGAGCAACGCCGCGUGAGUGAUGAAGGUCUUCGGAUCGUAAAACUCUGUUAUUAGGGAAGAACAAAUGUGUAAGUAACUAUGCACGUCUUGACGGUACCUAAUCAGAAAGCCACGGCUAACUACGUG